UGGGAACGUACCUUUCGGUUCGGGAUAGCCCAGGGAAACUUGGGCUAAUACCGGAUACGUCCUUAGGGAGAAAGAUUUAUUGCCGAGAGAUCGGCCCGCGUCUGAUUAGCUAGUUGGUGAGGUAAAGGCUCACCAAGGCGACGAUCAGUAGCUGGUCUGAGAGGAUGAUCAGCCACACUGGGACUGAGACACGGCCCAGACUCCUACGGGAGGCAG
rnacentral:rRNA from 1 species